AGCAGCCAAUGCUAUUUAUGUUCCUCCAGAUCAGCAAGGUGACAUUGAUUUGCAGAGUGGGAUACUUCAUGCAGAAGAGAGAGAUUAUAAAACUGCCUACAGCUAUUUCUAUGAGGCAUUUGAGGCAUUUAAUGCCCUUGCUACUAAUGAUUCCAAGGACGCUUCAUCAAAAAAAGAUCCGAAGGCCAAGGCAAAGUACAUAGCCAAGGCCAUAUACAGCCUCAAGUAUAUGUUGCUAUGCAAAAUCAUGGUCAACCAGGCUGAUGAUGUUGCGGGAAUAAUAUCUUCACGUGGACUGAAUUAUCAGGGGCCAGAACUUGAUGCUAUGAAAGCUGUUGCCGAUGCUCACUCCAAGCGAUCUUUGCAGCUCUUUGAGAUUGCUCUUCAGAACUUUAAGGCUCAGCUUGAUGAAGAUCCUAUCGUCCAUAGGCACCUCUCUUCGCUCUACG
rnacentral:lncRNA from 1 species